GUUUCAGCAGCGUCCCAUGAGCGGCGUGCCGCGCUGCGGCGCUAUCUUUCCGUCCAAUUCUAUUUUUGCCGUGAGCCGCUGCUAAACCGCGUCAAUUUCGACAGAGCAGGUCGAGCCGGGCAGGAAGUGAAAAGUAAAAGCCAUAGAGCAUCCGGUAAAUUUUCAAAAUAAAACACAAUACUCAGCUCAUGUAACUUCACAUCAACAUUAUUACGUCAUGACCGGUGGGUCUGCUCAGAGGGUCGGCAACAUUGGCGACGAGAGACUCAUUGUCGAAGUUCAGCAACAUGAAGUCAUUUAUGUACCAAAUCAUCCUUUUUAUAAGGAAAAUGUCAGAAAGGACAAAGCGUGGCAUUCAAUUGCAAUAGUUUUGGGAGUGGAAGGUCAGUACAUUAGGUUUAGGAUUAUCGCGUGAUCUCGCGUGAAUACGGCUGGCUCGCAAGGCAGCGCUACGCUGCCGUUACGCGCCCGGUAGGAAUGGACGCAGGGCAGAGGACGCAGCCGUUCCACGGCGCAGCCGUUCCGCGGCGCGUACGCGACAAUCAGUGUUUUUUUUGGCCGUGUUUUUUAUGGCCGUGUGUGUGUGUGUGUGUGUGUUAGAAUAACAUGCAUGUCCAAACUCCUAUUUCCACAAGGUAUAGCAGGGCGGACUGCUCUGGAACCUGAGAGACUCUUCAAACCUGACCUCAGUCCACCACGGAGCAACAGGAGACUUAAAUAAAGGAACACUUUGAGCUACUGGGCGGACUAACUCCUUGACUGAAGGAGGUGAGGCUGCCGUGUCUGUGGAGGAAGUUUUGAUGUUCGCAACUGGACUGAAUUCACUUCCCCCAUCUGAAUUGGAACCAUCACCAAGAAUAGAGUUCCUGGAUGACUCUCCAUUCCCAAUGGCAAAUACAUGUUGUGAGGGACAAGCGUGGUCGCUCCACGUAUCUGGGAUACGUCCAACCAGAUUCAGAGAGUGUAGGCAAAAACUAGGGUAAUUGUCGCAGGACAAGAAAAGUGAAGCUUUAUUUUCUCUCUUGUACUGGCCUCCCAUCAAGCCAGCACCACCUUCAGCCCCCAAACACCAAAUGAGGCAGCCCUUAAAUAGGGGAAUGAUUGGACCAAUCAAGGCCGUAUGGGCCAGACCACUAGUUGGGGGAACAUUCUUUAGCUAGAGCUACCAAUCCUACAUAACUGAACAGAAAGUACAUCGUGUGAAUACAAAAUAAACAUGACACUAAAUAAACAAUCACCAAAUACAUAUAUACCCACACCUUGUGCACAACCUAUAGAUAUUUACAAAACAGCUGUUUUUAUCAACACCCCCUGGGCCAUUCCCUGAUGCCAUGAUCCUGAGCUUCCCUUACCACACUGCCCCCUACCGUGGCGGAAGCCCAAUUUCCCACAUCCCAAUUAUAUAUAUAUAUACACACAUAUAAUAAUAAUUUCUCUAAUGCAAGACUGAGAAGGGGAAGGAUUUCACCUUCUCACACAUGUUCAAACACAUUGAAAUUACCACUCCUAGACAUGUACACUGUGUUUAAGACAAAAAAAAAUGGACAUUGGACUUCAAAAUUCUCCAGGAUUUGGAUGUUUUUAAGCCCUGAGAUGACCCCUAGGGACGCUGAAAAGGUUGUUCUUUGUUGUUAUCAAAGGUUAAGAAUCUUUAUAAUGUAAAGAUACAAGUGUUUUCUCUCACAGUUAACAUUUUAGCCAUUCUAUGUCAGACAAAAUAAACAAGGCCAAG
ensembl:lncRNA